GUGGGGAAUCUUGGGCAAUGGGGGAAACCCUGACCCAGCGACGCCGCGUGAGGGAAGAAGGUCUUCGGAUCGUAAACUUCUAUCCUUGGUGAAGAUAAUGACGGUAGCCGAGAAGGAAGCCCCGGCUAACUACGUGCCAGCAGCCGCGGUAAUACGUAGGGGGCAAGCGUUGUCCGGAAUGAUUGGGCGUAAAGGGCGCGUAGGCGGCCUGGUAAGUCUGGUGUGAAAGUCCUGCUUUUAAGGUGGGAAUUGCUUUGGAUACUGUCGGGCUUGAGUGCAGGAGAGGUAAGUGGAAUUCCCGGUGUAGCGGUGAAAUGCGUAGAGAUCGGGAGGAACACCAGUGGCGAAGGCGACUUACUGGACUGUAACUGACGCUGAGGCGCGAAAGUGUGGGGAGCAAACAGGAUUAGAAACCCUUGUAGUCC
rnacentral:rRNA from 1 species